UACGUAGGGUGCAAGCGUUGUCCGGAAUUAUUGGGCGUAAAGAGCUCGUAGGCGGUCUGUCGCGUCUGCUGUGAAAACUCGGGGCUUGACCCCGGGCCUGCAGUGGGUACGGGCAGACUAGAGUGCGGUAGGGGAGACUGGAAUUCCUGGUGUAGCGGUGAAAUGCGCAGAUAUCAGGAGGAACACCGGUGGCGAAGGCGGGUCUCUGGGCCGUAACUGACGCUGAGGAGCGAAAGCAUGGGGAGCGAACAGG
rnacentral:rRNA from 1 species